UAGCACCAUUUGAAAUCAGUUA
rnacentral:ncRNA from 4 species